rnacentral:rRNA from 1 species
CAAUAGCGUAUAUUAAAGUUGUUGCGGUUAAAAAGCUCGUAGUUGGAUUUCUGCUGAGAACGACCGGUCCGCCCUCUGGGUGUGUAUCUGGCUCUUUCUUGGCAUCUUCUUGGUGAACGUUGCUGCACUUGACUGUGUGGAGCGCUACCCAGGACUUUUACUUUGAGGAAAUUAGAGUGUUUCAAGCAGGCAUACGCCUUGAAUACAUUAGCAUGGAAUAAUAAGAUAGGACCUCGGUUCUAUUUUGUUGGUUUCUAGAGCUGAGGUAAUGAUUAAUAGGGAUAGUUGGGGGCAUUCGUAUUUAACUGUCAGAGGUGAAAUUCUUGAAUUUGUUAAAGACGGACUACUGCGAAAGCAUUUGCCAAGGAUGUUUUCAUUG